rnacentral:misc_RNA from 1 species
UCCAUGUUCCUCAAAGCAUGGGCUUAUAUAUGCAAGCAAAGCGACAAUGGAAAAAUUAUCCCUUUAUUGCCGGAAUUAAUCCCAUCAUUUGACAGGGCGUCCAUCAGAGACCCUGAUGGGCUUGAGCAAUUCUACUUGAACCAGUGGCGAGCCACGCCUGGGUUAGAUUCAGAGUCCAACCCGCUAAGUGUGAAAUUUUUGUCCAAAAUUCUAGGAGUACCACAUAAUCUUGUUCGAUCCACGUUUCAGUUAAGCCGUGAAAGCAUCCAAAAAAUCAGGGAAAAUGUACUGGGUUACCACCAGUGCCGCGCUGGGCUAAGGAGUAUGGAACAUCUUCAUCUUUCAACGCUAGUGGUUGCAUGUUCUUAUGUGUCGGUCUGCUUGGUGAAAGCUAGAGGAGGAGAUAGUAAAAGAAGAGUUUACAUUCUGGUGCCAGCGGAUUGCAGGAGCCGCAGAGACCCUUCAGUUCCACCUAAUUACUUUGGCAAUUGUCUUUAUGUCCUGGACACGGUUGCAGAAGCAGGUAUUUUCAUGGAGAAAAAUGGAGUGGCUAUUGUAGCAGAGAAGCUUAGCGAUUCAAUAAAAGGGUUGGAGAAAGGAAUUUUCCAAGGAGCAAAAGAGAGACAUGCCAGAUUGAGGGCUGAGGGAGCAGAGGUGCAAAAGAUUGGAAUAACAGGAUCGCCUAAGUUCAAGUAUUAUGAGGAGGAUUUUGGAUGGGGAAGACCCGAGAAAGUGGAGAUUGUGUCCAUUGAUAAGGUAAAUGGUGUUUCGUUGAUGGAAGAUGAAGAUGGGGUUGAGAUUGGGCUGGUCUUGCCCAGACAUGAAACAGAGGCAUUUGCUUCACUUUUUCUUCAAGGCCUACAUGACUCGUAGCUGAGGCUCCCAAAAUUUUCACUUUACUUUCGUUGAAGGGUCGAAUUGUGUUCAAUUUACCUGUACCGAACAAUAUUAAUAAUACUAGAUAAGACUUGCCCG